GUUAAUGUUCACAGGUUGUGCAGUUGUGCAAAUUCCUUUAAUGCUGCAAAAUGGAGAGAAGAUAGGCGGGACUGAGAUCAAUGUCAUAAGCCAAUAUUCAACAGAAUUUCCAGGCAUGAUUGCUGGUUUAGACCUGGACUUGAGUAUUCCAUCUCCCAGCACCAUAAUCUGCUCUCUCUGUGGUGUUUUGUAAUGAGAUUGUCUUAAAUAAAAAUAAUGCAGUCACUACUAUAGUUCAAAGGAUCUGUUAAAACAGAACCAACAGCCAGCUUCCUUCCUGAGAUGCACAGACAUGUCGUAGUCCCGUAAGGACUGUGAC